AACGAACGCUGGCGGCAUGCCUAACAUAUGCAAGUCGAACGAGACCUUCGGGUCUAGUGGCGCACGGGUGCGUAACGCGUGGGAACCUGCCCUUAGGUUCGGAAUAACUCCCCGAAAGGGGUGCUAAUACCGGAUAAUGUCUUCGGACCAAAGAUUUAUCGCCUUUGGAUGGGCCCGCGUUGGAUUAGCUAGUUGGUAGGGUAAAAGCCUACCAAGGCGACGAUCCAUAGCUGGUCUGAGAGGAUGAUCAGCCACACUGGGUCUGAGACACGGCCCAGACUCCUACGGGAGGCAGCAGUGGGGAAUAUUGGACAAUGGGCGAAAGCCUGAUCCAGCAAUGCCGCGUGAGUGAUGAAGGCCUUAGGGUUGUAAAGCUCUUUUACCCGGGAUGAUAAUGACAGUACCGGGAGAAUAAGCUCCGGCUAACUCCGUG
rnacentral:rRNA from 1 species